rnacentral:rRNA from 1 species
UAGUUCCUACGGGGGGCAGCAGUGGGGGAUAUUGGACAAUGGGGGAAACCCUGAUCCAGCGAUGCCGCGUGAGGGAAGAAGGUUUUCGGAUUGUAAACCUCUGUGGAGGGGGACGAUAAUGACGGUACCCCUUUAGGAAGCCACGGCUAACUACGUGCCAGCAGCCGCGGUAAUACGUAGGAGGCAAGCGUUGUCCGGAAUUAUUGGGCGUAAAGAGUACGUAGGCGGUCUGUUAAGCGCAAGGUGAAAGGCAUAGGCUCAACCAAUGUGAGCCUUGCGACCUGGCAGACUUGAGCGCAGGAGAG